rnacentral:rRNA from 1 species
ACGUAGGUGGCAAGCGUUGUCCGGAAUUACUGGGUGUAAAGGGAGCGCAGGCGGGGAGACAAGUCAGCUGUGAAAACUAUGGGCUUAACCCAUAGAUUGCAGUUGAAACUGUUUUUCUUGAGUGGAGUAGAGGUAGGCGGAAUUCCGAGUGUAGCGGUGAAAUGCGUAGAUAUUCGGAGGAACACCAGUGGCGAAGGCGGCCUACUGGGCUCUAACUGACGCUGAGGCUCGAAAGUGUGGGGAGCAAACAG